CUUUAAACAGCUUGGAAAAUUCCAGAAAAUGAUGUCAUGGCUUUAGAAGCUUCUGAUUGGCUAAUUUACAUCAUUUGAGUCAAUUGGAGGUGAACCUGUGGAUGUACUUCAAGCAAUCAUUUCUGAUGAAAAAACACACAUUUGUGGAAAUAAACUUCACAUUGUGACAUUUUAAAUAUGAUUAAAUCACGUCAUAAAUAAUCAUAUCCUAUAGAAUCAUGCUGAAAUUGAACACACACACACACACAAACAGGUACUCACACAGACACACACAAACAGGUACUCACACAGACACACACAGACAGACACAGACACACUCACAGAGACACACACACACAAACAGGUACUCACACAGACACACGCAGACAGACACAGACACACACAGACACACACACAGAGACACACAGACACACACACAAACAGGUACUCACACAGACACACGCAGACAGACACAGACACACUCACACAGACACACACAGACACACUCACAGAGACACACACACACACACACAAACAGGUACUCACACAGACACACGCAGACAGACACAGACACACUCACAGAGACACACACACACAGGUACUCACACAGACACACGCAGACAGACACAGACACACUCACAGAGACACACACAAACAGGUACUCACACAGACACACGCAGACAGACACAGACACACUCACAGAGACACACACAAACAGGUA